GCCCGUGUGGGAUAAUGGUUUGAACGUUGGACUAUGACUCUGGAGAUCAGGGUUCGAUUCCCAGCUCAGCCA